rnacentral:rRNA from 1 species
GACGAACGCUGGCGGCGUGCUUAACACAUGCAAGUCGAACGGUGAAGGGGUCUGCUUUUGUGGGCCCUGGAUGAGUGGCGAACGGGUGAGUAACACGUGAGUAACCUGCCCCCUUCUUCUGGAUAACCGCAUGAAAGUGUGGCUAAUACGGGAUAUUCUGGGUCUGUCGCAUGAUGGGUCUGGGAAAGAUUGCGCCUUUGGGUGUUUUUGGUGGGGGAUGGGCUCGCGGCCUAUCAGCUUGUUGGUGGGGUGAUGGCCUACCAAGGCGGUGACGGGUAGCCGGCCUGAGAGGGUGGACGGUCACACUGGGACUGAGACACGGCCCAGACUCCUACGGGAGGCAGCAGUGGGGAAUAUUGCACAAUGGGCGCAAGCCUGAUGCAGCGACGCCGCGUGAGGGAUGGAGGCCUUCGGGGUGUAAACCUCUUUCGCCAGUGAAGCAGGCCUGCUCCGUGUGGGUGGGUUGACGGUAGCUGGAGAAGAAGCGCCGGCUAACUACGUG